rnacentral:rRNA from 1 species
CCUACGGGUGGCAGCAGUCGAGAAUCAUUCACAAUGGGGGAAACCCUGAUGGUGCGACGCCGCGUGGGGGAAUGAAGGUCUUCGGAUUGUAAACCCCUGUCAUGUGGGAGCAAAUUAAAAAGAUAGUACCACAAGAGGAAGAGACGGCUAACUCUGUGCCAGCAGCCGCGGUAAUACAGAGGUCUCAAGCGUUGUUCGGAAUCACUCGGCGGAAAGCGUGCGUAGGCUGUUUCGUAAGGCGUGUGUGAAAGGCGCGGGCUCAACCCGCGGAAGGCACAUGAUACUGCGAGACUAGAGUAAUGGAGGGGGAACCGGAAUUCUCGGUGUAGCAGUGAAAUGCGUAGAUAUCGAGAGGAACACUCGUGGCGAAGGCGGGUUCCUGGACAUUAACUGACGCUGAGGCACGAAGGCCAGGGGAGCGAAAGGGAUUAGAUACCCCAGUAGUC